rnacentral:rRNA from 1 species
CCCACAGCAAAAGCUGGUAAGGUCACUUGUAGACUACAAGUUUGAUAGGUCGGGUGUGUAAGCACGGUAACGUGUAGAGCUGACCGAUACUAAUAGACCGAGGGCUUGAACUA